rnacentral:rRNA from 1 species
AGAGGUCUCAAGCGUUGUUCGGAAUCACUGGGCGUAAAGGGUGCGUAGGCUGCACGGUAAGUCAGAGGUGAAAUCCCGGAGCUCAACUUCGGAAUUGCCUCCGAUACUGCCGUGCUUGAGGACUGGAGAGGAGAUUGGAAUUCACAGUGGAGCAGUGAAAUGCGUAGAUAUUGUGAGGAACACUAGUGGCGAAGGCGAAUCUCUGGACAGUUCCUGACGCUGAGGCACGAAGGCCAGGGGAGCAAACGGGAUUAGAUACCCCGGUAGUCCUGGCAGUAAACGGUGCACGCUUGGUGUGGCAGGAUUCGACCCCUGCCGUGCCGGAGCUAACGCGUUAAGCGUGCCGCCUGGGAAGUACGGUCGCAAGAUUA